AUACAGAGGGUGCGAGCGUUAAUCGGAAUUACUGGGCGUAAAGCGCGCGUAGGCGGCUUGGUCAGUCGGAUGUGAAAGCCCCGGGCUCAACCUGGGAAUGGCAUUCGAUACUGCCAGGCUAGAGUAUGGGGAGGGAAGUGGAAUUUCCGGUGUAGCGGUGAAAUGCGUAGAUAUCGGAAGGAACACCAGUGGCGAAGGCGACUUCCUGGCCCAAUACUGACGCUGAGGUGCGAAAGCGUGGGGAGCGAACAGGAUUAGAAACCCUAGUAGUCC
rnacentral:rRNA from 1 species